rnacentral:rRNA from 1 species
GAUGAACGCUGGCGGCGUGCCUAAUACAUGCAAGUCGAGCGAACAGACGAGGAGCUUGCUCCUCUGACGUUAGCGGCGGACGGGUGAGUAACACGUGGAUAACCUACCUAUAAGACUGGGAUAACUUCGGGAAACCGGAGCUAAUACCGGAUAAUAUAUUGAACCGCAUGGUUCAAUAGUGAAAGACGGUUUUGCUGUCACUUAUAGAUGGAUCCGCGCCGCAUUAGCUAGUUGGUAAGGUAACGGCUUACCAAGGCAACGAUGCGUAGCCGACCUGAGAGGGUGAUCGGCCACAAGGGAACUGAGACACGGUCCAGAAUACUACGGGAGGCAGCAGUAGGGAAUCUUCCGCAAUGGGCGAAAGCCUGACGGAGAAACGCCGCGUGAGUGAUGAAGGUCUUCGGAUCGUAAAAAUCUGUUAUUAGGGAAGAACAAAUGUGUAAGUAACUAUGCACGUCUUGACGGUACCUAAUCAGAAAGCCACGGCUAACUACGUG